rnacentral:sRNA from 1 species
AUUAAGCUCUAAAAUUCUGCUAUAACUAGAUCAUUAAAUGUCCUCAGCAUAAAAUGAACUGUUCUGUUUUAUUUUGGAUUAUUUUAAAGAGUGUACAUUUACUUGAGACGCAUCUAUAGCAUUGUUGGUGAUGCAUACCUGUCAACUCUCCCGAUUUUUUUCGGGAGUCUACCGAUUUUGAACCUGUCUACCGAUAUAUUUUUUACCCCCAAUAUCUACCGAUUUUUAAGAAAUCUGGAAAAAAUCACAGAAUGUCACAAUGCCAAUACAAAAUUUCUUGACAACUUCAAGUGAUGAAGGAGUGGUGAAAGCAGAAUUUUUAUUUUCAAAUUUUAUUGCGGAGCUAACAUCCCAUUUGCUGUUGCAGACCAUUUCACCAAACAAAGAGCUUCCAUGGACAAUCAGACACUAUGUAGUCUUCUAUGUGCUAAAAUAAACUGUAAAGAGGAAUGCCAUCAAGUGAAACCUUCUAAGGGACACUCUAAAACUGACUAAAUCAGCAGCUUACAAUUACAAUAAAGAACAUUAAAGUG